rnacentral:rRNA from 1 species
GAUGAACGCUGGCGGCGUGCUUAACACAUGCAAGUCGAGCGAUGAAGUUUCCUUCGGGAAAUGGAAUAGCGGCGGACGGGUGAGUAACACGUGGGUAACCUGCCUCAUAGAGUGGAAUAGCCUUUCGAAAGGAAGAUUAAUACCGCAUAAUGUUGAAAGAAAGCAUCAUCAUUCAACCAAAGUAGCAAUCCGCUAUGAGAUGGACCCACGGCGCAUUAGCUAGUCGGUGGCGUAACGGCAUACCAAGGCGACGAUGCGUAGCCGACCUGGGAGGGUGAUCAGCCACAUUGGGACUGAGACACGGCCCAGACUCCUACGGGAGGCAGCUGUGGGGAGUAUUGCACAAUGGGGGAAACCCUGAUGCAGCAACGCCGCGUGAGUGAUGAAGGUUUUCGGAUCGUAAAGCUCUGUCUUUGGGGAAGAUAAUGACGGUACCCAAGGAGGAAGCCACGGCUAACUACGUGCCAGCCGCCGCGGUAAUAC